UACGGGAGGCAGCAGUGGGGAAUAUUGCACAAUGGGGGAAACCCUGAUGGCAGCCAUGCCGCGUGUGUGAAGAAGGCCUUCGGGUUGUAAAGCACUUUCAGUAGGGAGGAAGGUAGUGUAGUUAACACCUGCACUAUUUGACGUUACCUACAGAAGAAGCACCGGCUAACUCCGUGCCAGCAGCCGCGGUAAUACGGAGGGUGCGAGCGUUAAUCGGAAUUACUGGGCGUAAAGCGCAUGCAGGCGGCCUGUUAAGUCAGAUGUGAAAGCCCGGGGCUUAACCUCGGAAUUGCAUUUGAAACUGGCAGGCUAGAGUCUUGUAGAGGGGGUAGAAUUUCAGGUGUAGCGGUGAAAAUGCGUAGAGAUCUGAAGGAAUACCAGUGGCGAAGGCGGCCCCCUGGACAAAGACUGACGCUCAGAUGCGAAAGCGUGGGGAGCAAACAGGAUUAGAUACCCUGGUAG
rnacentral:rRNA from 1 species